CAAUGGAAGCAAACACAGUAGGGCAAACCAAUUUCAGAUUUUUAUCUCAAAUCAAAAGCCUAGAAAAGGUGAAUCUGCCGAAUAGUUCGGGCCGAAUCCUGAGGAAAGUUCAAAGCGCUGUUUGACGAGCCUACGUAGUAUUAGUUAGUUGGCCAGGUAAAGGCUGACAAGCCAAUGAUGCUUAGCUAGUCUUUUUGAAUGAUUAGCCACACUGGGACUGAGACAUGGCCCAGACUCCCAUGGGAGGCAGCAGAGGGAAUCCUUGACAAUGGGCGAAAGCCCGAUCCAGCAAUAUCGAAUGAGUGAAGAAGGUCAAUGCUCCUUGUAAAGCUCUUACAUUGAGUGCGCGAUCAUGACAUAUCUCGAGGAAGAAGUAACUCCAUGCCAGCAGCCGCGCUAAGACGGGGGGG
rfam:Triticum aestivum genome assembly, contig: Triticum_aestivum_CS42_TGACv1_scaffold_332688_4BS